UUCACACUAUUUCUCAUAUCUACCCUUUCUUCCUUUGCUGGAGCUCUUGCUUGGUAUCUCUGUGUGUAUCUCUAUCUGUGUAUGUGUAUAUAAUGUUACUCAGUAUUUCAGAGUUCUUUUUUAUUUUCUUUCUAAUCCUUUCUCCCUCUUAGCUUAAUAUUAGGUAAUUCUAUUGUAUCUCCUCUGUGGAAAUUUGGUCAUUAUUCUUUCCAUCCCCAUGUUCCCAGAAAUAAGACUCAAGAUAUAUAUACAUUUUUUAAAAGAUUUAUUUAUUGAUUAUAUGUAAGUACACUGUAGCUGUCUUCAGACACUCCAGAAGAGGGAGUCAGAUCUCGUUACGGAUGGUUGUGAGCCACCAUGUGGUUGCUGGGAUUUGAACUCUGGACCUUCAGAAGAGCAGUCGGGUGCUCAUACCCACUGAGCCAUCUCAUCAGCCCUCAAAAUAUAUUUAAAAUACCUUGGCCAUAUAGCUAUAUUCUUCUCUGCUUAGAUCAUAACAUAAAAUAACACAUUUAUUUUAAUCUACAUUCUUCCUUGUAGCUGGCUACUUGUGCUCAGGUACCGUAAAUCUGUCUCAUCACAUCUUCUAGGGCAAAUCUCCUGCAUCUGGCACUAUCUCAGAAUUCUUUCUACCUCCUGGAUGUUACACAUCCAUUUCCUACUUAAGCCAUAGACCAUCAGAUAAUUAUUGACAGAUGCCAGAUCCAUAGAGACACAAGAUAUUCUCUCUUCACUCUUCUUUCAAUGAUAUCUUUAUUUUGAGAGGGUAAACCAUUCAUUUUUUGUGAUGUCAUUAUUUGCAGUUAUUAUUUUAUGUCUCAAGGUUCCACUUGUGUCUUUAAUAUCACCUGCUAUUUAAAAUAACACUUUUAUGGUGUUUAUGUUUUCCUUUAUCUUCUAAAACAUGAUUCCCACAAUUUAAAAUAGCUAUUUUACCAUUCUUGUCUACUGUCUCCGAAACCUGCUAUGUGAGUCUGCUUGUAUUGAUUGUUUUUUCCUGGUUAUAGAUCUUAUCCUUUAUUUUCUUUGUAUUUCUUAUAAAUUUGGCUGCUAGAUUUGUGUGUGUGUGUGUUCCUUUAAAUAGUGCUAGAUUGUCUUCUACUAUUAGGUUAACUAACAAUUAGUUUAAUACUUUUUUAACUUUUAAAAAAUGUAUUUGUAUGUGUGCAUGUACAUGCUUGUGUAUGUGUGUACUCAUGCCAAGGCAACUGUAUGGAAGUCAGAAGACAACCUUCAGGAGUCAGUUCUCUUCUUCCACCAUGGGCUCCAGGGAUCAAACUUAUGUUAGCAUGUUUUCUUGGCAAGCACUUUUCACUUGUUGAACUACCUUGUCAGUUUAGUCCUUUUGAGGUUUAAU
rnacentral:lncRNA from 1 species